UACAGAGGGUGCGAGCGUUAAUCGGACUUACUGGGCGUAAAGCGCACGUAGGUGGCUGUGUAAGUCGGGUGUGAAAUCCCCGGGCUCAACCUGGGAACUGCAUUCGAGACUGCAUAGCUGGAGUACGGAAGAGGAGGGCGGAAUUCCCGGUGUAGCGGUGAAAUGCGUAGAUAUCGGGAGGAACAUCAGUGGCGAAGGCGGCUUCCUGGCCCAAAACUGACGCUGAGGUGCGAAAGCGUGGGGAGCAAACAGG
rnacentral:rRNA from 1 species